AUUAUAUAAAAUAUAAAUAUUGUUAAUUUAUUAUUUAAUCGCUUAUACAAUUGAUAGUUAACCAGUCAUAAGUAUCCUGCAAACGCACCAAUUUCUAACCGCAGAACCAGUCGUACAAAUCUCUUAAAACUUCAAGAUACCGCAGCCACCCGCAUCCGCAAACUCCCGCAACCGCAACCGCUGCGUUUAAACCAGUCAGACCCUUAGUUGUUUACUUCAAAACGAUUUUAGCAAAUAUGACAUAUAUAAGAGUCGAUAACGGUUUGGGACACUUUUUUUUAUCUUUUUUGACAUACUCAGACACAACUUGCUGGAGGGACACUUUGUCUUGAUUCUGAGAUGGUUUCGGACCAUUGUGCCCCUCGCUUUUUUACCUGAGACCAAGGUUGAGUCAGUGUUUUUUUUAUUAUUUCUCGCCAACUGGAAAGCGACCGUACAGCCCUGCGUUUCGUAGGAGUUAUUAAGUUUGGUUUCUGAGGAAUACUUUCUUCUCAACUUUUUCUUUGUUUUUUUGCAAAGUUCUUAUGUUUUUAUUUGUUUUUUUCUCAGAGUUUAAGACAUUUGAAGAAAGUAUAAUUACUAUAUACAUGAAUUUAUAUUUAUUUUAAUAUAAUAUAGUAAAAGAUAGAAGAGUUAUGGGGUUUUAACGUUAAAACCUCUCAACUAAAUUUUUUUUAUAUUGACAUGUAAUAAAAAUUAUCAAAAAGUUAUUUAUUAAAAUUAAUAAUUGAGUAUAAAAUAUGAUUAAUAUUUUUUUGAAUAAUAUUAAGGUAUAUGUUUUCUGUGUGUUUUUAGUUUUAAUUUUUUAGUAUUUAAAUGUUUAUUAAAAUAUGUUUUCGGAUAACAACACAAAAUAUAUAGGAAUUAUCUUUUAUUUUAAAAUAUAUCUUUCAGAUUUUGGAUAAGUUUUUUUAUUAUUAAUAAUAAAUUAUCUAACCAAAUAGUUUUAAAUUCGUUUUUAUGUUUUAGUUAAUUUAUAGAUUUUAUUCAUUAAGGGUAUAAACGAUAUUAACCACUCUAACUUUUAACGUGAGAGCUCGAUUCCAAAAAUUUACUUCGCAAAUAAUAGUAUAGAUUGAGACUGUGAGACUGAGACCCUAUUCUUAUCUCUUCCUUUAUUUUUGCGUGUGGGUGAUCUUCUCAUGCCAUCUCGAUUACAAUUAUUCUGAAAUAAGCUUUUAUCUUUGUUUCACAGCUCGUGUGGUUGUACUAUUUUUAUGGUUUAUGUGUAUUUAGGGUACGAUUGGUUUCUUCGCUACCACCCGCACACGCAACUUUUGCAGUUGAUAGCAGUUGUUGGCGAUUUGCAACAAUCACUCAAACCGCUCUAAACCUCAAAAAUUCAAAAACUGGUUCCAGCUAGCAUUUGCAGUUACGGGAGAAUAUUUUUUUUCUUUAAAACAAUAUAAAUACAAAAAUAAAAAUAAUCAAUAAAAAUUUUCAAUUGGAAUUAUAAAAAUACUAAAAUAUAUCUAUUAAAUUAAUAUUAUAAAUUUUUAAAAUAAAAAUAUUUUCUAUAAUUUUUAAAAAUUUAAAACUAUAAUUUUCUAAAUGUAAUUUUUAUAUUUAUUAUAAUAUUAUAAUUUUUGAUAUUUUUAUAAUUAUAUAAAAUAUAAAUAUUGUUAAUUUAUUAUUUAAUCGCUUAUACAAUUGAUAGUUAACCAGUCAUAAGUAUCCUGCAAACGCACCAAUUUCUAACCGCAGAACCAGUCGUACAAAUCUCUUAAAACUUCAAGAUACCGCAGCCACCCGCAUCCGCAAACUCCCGCAACCGCAACCGCUGCGUUUAAACCAGUCAGACCCUUAGUUGUUUACUUCAAAACGAUUUUAGCAAAUAUGACAUAUAUAAGAGUCGAUAACGGUUUGGGACACUUUUUUUUAUCUUUUUUGACAUACUCAGACACAACUUGCUGGAGGGACACUUUGUCUUGAUUCUGAGAUGGUUUCGGACCAUUGUGCCCCUCGCUUUUUUACCUGAGACCAAGGUUGAGUCAGUGUUUUUUUUAUUAUUUCUCGCCAACUGGAAAGCGACCGUACAGCCCUGCGUUUCGUAGGAGUUAUUAAGUUUGGUUUCUGAGGAAUACUUUCUUCUCAACUUUUUCUUUGUUUUUUUGCAAAGUUCUUAUGUUUUUAUUUGUUUUUUUCUCAGAGUUUAAGACAUUUGAAGAAAGUAUAAUUAUUACAAUAAAUUAUAAUUUGUUUUUCUCUAUAUUUUAACAUCCAUUUUCAUAUAUAUAUUUUAUAUAUUUCAACAAUUAUAUAAAAAAAAUGUAUGGACAUAAGAAGUGUGGAUGCAAAAUUGUGAACAUAUAAAAAAAAUACGUAAACAUAAAAAGAUGUGGACAUGGAUGGAUAAAAAAAUGUAGAAAAUCUCUUUAAAAUUUUCGUGGAUGAAGUUUCAUAAACUAAGUUUCAUGGAUGUGUUACUUGGACAAGUUCUUAUAUUCCUAAUCAUCUUACAUAAUUUCUUAGUAUUUGUGAACAAGUGCUUUAUGCAUACCGUGUAGUGUUUAUGUACAUUCCCAACAUAUUUUUGGUCAUUAUUACAAAUUAUAAUGUAUAAAAUCUAUAUUAAUGUAUAAAAUAAGUUAUAACUUUUUCUCUUCUACAUUUUGAUAUCCAUAAUGUAUAUAUUUUUUUGUAAAUUUAUAAUAAAUUUUGAUGUCCAUGUGAACGAGUUCUUGUGAACGAGGUUUUGU
rnacentral:lncRNA from 1 species